AGGCGCCCGUAGUUCCAGCUAUUCGCGAGGCUGAGGCAGGAGAAUGGUGGAGGUUGGAGUGAGCUGAGAUUACACCAAUAUACUCCAUCAUGGGCGACAGAGCAAGACUGUCUCAAAAAAAAAAAAAAAAAAAAAAAAGUACAGCUUGCUGGGCCCCACCUCCAGAGUUUCUGACCAAGUAACAGGUCUGGGAUGGAGUCUAAGAAUCUGCAUUCCUGGCUGGGUA
rnacentral:lncRNA from 1 species